rnacentral:rRNA from 1 species
AGUUUGAUCCUGGCUCAGGAUGAACGCUAGCGAUAGGCCUAACACAUGCAAGUCGAGGGGCAGCAUAGAGUAGCAAUACUUUGAUGGCGACCGGCGCACGGGUGAGUAACACGUAUGCAACCUACCUACAUCAGGGGAAUAACCCGGAGAAAUUCGGACUAAUACCGCAUAACACAGGGGUCCCGCAUGGGAAUAUUUGUUAAAGAUUUAUCGGAUGUAGAUGGGCAUGCGUUCCAUUAGGUAGUUGGUAGAGUAACGGCCUACCAAGCCCACGAUGGAUAGGGGAACUGAGAGGUUUGUCCCCCACACUGGAACUGAGACACGGACCAGACUCCUACGGGAGGCAGCAGUGAGGAAUAUUGGUCAAUGGUCGAGAGACUGAACCAGCCAAAUCGCGUGAAGGAAGACUGCCUUAUGGGUUGUAAACUUCUUUUUUACAGGAAUAAAAGACAUUACGAGUAAUGUAUUGCAUGUACUGUAAGAAUAAGCAUCGGCUAACUCCGUGCCAGCAGCCGCGGUAAUACGGAGGAUGCGAGCGUUAUCCGGAUUUAUUGGGUUUAAAGGGUGCGCAGGCGGGCUUUUAAGUCAGCGGUGAAAUUUCCAGGCUCAACCUGGGCACUGCCGUUGAAACUGGGGGUCUUGAGUACAGAUGAAGUAGGCGGAAUUCGUUGUGUAGCGGUGACAUGCUUAGAUAUAACGAGGAACUCCGAUUGCGUAGGCAGCUUACUAAACUGUUACUGACGCUCAAGCACGAAAGCGUGGGGAUCAAACAGGAUUAGAUACCCUGGUAGUCCACGCCGUAAACGAUGAUUACUAGUUGUAUGCGAUAUACCGUAUGUGACUAAGCGAAAGCGAUAAGUAAUCCACCUGGGGAGUACGCUGGCAACAGUGAAACUCAAAUGAAUUGACGG